rnacentral:rRNA from 1 species
UACGUAGGGGGCUAGCGUUGUCCGGAAUCAUUGGGCGUAAAGAGCUUGUAGGCGGUCUGUCGCGUCUGCUGUGAAAAUCCGGGGCUCAACCCCGGACUUGCAGUGGGUACGGGCAGACUAGAGUGUGGUAGGGGAGACUGGAAUUCCUGGUGUAGCGGUGAAAUGCGCAGAUAUCAGGAGGAACACCGAUGGCGAAGGCAGGUCUCUGGGACGGUACUGACGCUGAGACGCGAAAGCGUGGGGAGCGAACAGG